rnacentral:lncRNA from 1 species
CUUACAAAAAAAAAUGCCCAGUGAUUUAGAAGUGGGUGUGUGUGACCGUGAGAACAAGACCAAGGGGGAAACCCUAUUUCUUCAAAAUCUUGCAAAUUAAAGGAGAAAAGGGCUAAAUUUUGAAUGCAUGAACUAAGAAUGAUGAUCAUCUAAGCAUACCCAACAUCAAUAUGAAUGUAUGUUGGAACGUGUCAAGGAGAGGUCAAGCAUAGGAGGAUAACGGGUCAAGAUAAGGCAAGGUGACAAAUACACUUAUUGGAGUACU